rnacentral:lncRNA from 1 species
AACGGAUCCUUGCCCAUGAGCUGGCGGGACUUGUAGAGAGGGCUUUAAACUAGAUAUGAAGGGGGAAGCGGAUAAAACCAGGCCUGCUAGAGAUGAGCCUGGGGGGGUGAUAAUGGGAUUAGGGAUGAGGUGAGAGACUCAGGUGAAGUGUGUCUACACUAAUGCAUGCAGCAUGGGCAACAAACAAGAAGAGUUGGAAGCCAUUGUGCAACAGGCAAGCUAUAACCUAGUUGCCAUUACGGAAACAUGGUGGGACUGCUCCCAUGACUGGAGUACUGUGAUGGAUGCUACAGACUCUUCAGGAAGGAUAGGCAGGGAAGGAGAGGUGGCAUCGUGGCUCUCUAUGUUAGAGAGUCCUUUGAUGUUACUGAGCUUAUAGCUGGAGAUGAUAAGGUUGAAUCCCUAUAGGUAAAGAUCAGGGGAAGUACUGACAAGGCAGACAUCCUGGUGGGCAUCUGUUAUAGACUGCUGAACCAGGAUUAAGAGACAGAUGAGAUGUUCUACGAGCAACUGGUGGAAGCUGUGCAAUUUCCAGCCCUUGUCCUCAUGGGGGACUUCAACUUCCCUGACAUAUGCUGGGAAUACAACAUAGUGCAGAAGAAGCAGUCUAGAAGGUUUCUGGAGCGUGUGGAGGAUAACUUCCUGAUGCAGCUGGUGAGAGAGCCUAUGAGAGGAGCUGCCCCAUUAGACCUGCUGUUCACAAACAGAUGAGGUCUGGUGGGAGGUGUGGAGAUCGGGGGCUGUCUUGGACAGAGUGACCAUGACAUGGUAGAGUUCUCGAUUCCUGGUGGAGUCAGGAGGGGGAACGGCAAAACCACUACCUUGGACUUCUGGAGGGCAGAUUUUGAACUGUUCAGAAGACUAGUAGAGGGAGUCCUCUGGGAUUCAGUCUUGGAGAGUAAAGGCGUCCAAGAUGGCUGGUAGCUCUUCAAGAAAGAAGUCUUAAAGGCGCAGGAGCAGGCUGUCCCCAUGAGCCGCAAAAUGAGCCGGCGCGGAAGAAGACUGGCGUGGAUGAAUGGGAAGCUAUUCUUGAGGUUCUAGGAGAAAAAGAGAAUCUACCUCCUGUGGAAGAAGGGACUGGCAACUCAGAAAGAAUACAAUGAUGUCAUUAAGAUGUUACGGAGAGAAAAUCAGAAAGGCAAAAGUUUGGUGAUAGCCAAGCUACUUUCCAUCAUCUAUCAGUGCUCCUUCUACUGGUGAGGUCCCAGAAGACUGGAGGCUUGCCAGUGGGACUCCCAUCUACAAGAAGGGUUGUAAGGAGAAUCCAGGGAACUACAGGCUUGUUAGCCUGACCUUGGUGCCAGGCAAGGUUAUGGAGCAGAUUGUCUCAAGGGAGAUCACGCGGCAUUUGUGGGACAACCAGGGGAUCAGGCAAAGCCAGCAUGGGUUCACGAAGGGCAGGUC